CCAGCAGUCGCGGUUACACGAAUAAUACAAAUAAAUUUAAUCAGUAGGAGUUAGAUUGAAUAAUAGAAAAUAAAUAAAAAUUUAUUAAGUGAAAUUUUAAAUUUUUAGAUUUUUUAGAUUUUGAUUAAUUGAAGCUCGAAAAUUUUAUAAAUAAACUAGGAUUAGAUACCCUAUUAUUUAAAAUGUAUCUUUCAAUGCUAGAGUAGUAUUAGUUAUGUUCUUGAAACUUAAAAAAUUUGGCGGUAUUUUAGUCUAUUCAGAGGAACCUGUUCUGUAAUCGAUAAUCCACGAUGGACCUUUCUUUAGCUUGUUUUUCAGUUUAUAUACCGUCGUUAUCAGAGGAUCUUAUAAGAGUAAUAGUCCUCAAAAAUUUUAAUAAGAAUUUAUAUCAGAUCAAGGUGUAGCUUAUGCUAAAGUAGAAAUGGGUUACAAUAAAUUUAUUUAAAUGGAUAAAAAUAUGAAAAAUUUUUUGAAAGUGGAUUUGAUAGUAAAGUUAUAUAGAUUAGUAACUUGUUUU
rnacentral:rRNA from 1 species